rnacentral:lncRNA from 1 species
AUGAGGGAGGUAGGCAGGCUGGACAGGAGGCAGAAAAGGGAAUGUAGACUAAGCAACUUCCAGUUGACACAGAGAUGGAGUAAGGGACCAAAGAAAUCAGACUUCACAGGUUGGAAGGACUGCAGAGUUCUGCUAGGUCAGUCCCACAAUGAAGGGGGGGUGCAAGUGAGCAAGGGGCAGAAAGACACAGAGAGAGAAGCAGCGCUCGCCCGAAGUGGGGUUCAUGUUUUACUGGAUGCAGGGCUUGUGCUCGCCCAAAGCGAGGGUCAAGCUUACCUGAUGUGGGACUCAAACUUACGAACCAUGAAAUCAUGA